UACGAAGGGGGCGAGCGUUGUUCGGAUUUACUGGGCGUAAAGGGCGCGCAGGCGGCAGAUCAAGUCAGAUGUGAAAGCCCCGGGCUUAACCUGGGAACUGCAUUUGGGACUGGUUUGCUAGAGAUCGGGAGAGGAGAGUGGAAUUCCCAGUGUAGAGGUGAAAUUCGUAGAUAUUGGGAAGAACACCGGUGGCGAAGGCGGCUCUCUGGGACGGUACUGACGCUGAGACGCGAAAGCGUGGGGAGCGAACAGG
rnacentral:rRNA from 1 species